rnacentral:rRNA from 1 species
GACGAAGGAUGCAAGCGUUAUCCGGAUUCAUUGGGUUUAAAGGGAGCGUAGGCGGCCUUGUAAGUCAGUGGUGAAAUCUCUCGGCUUAACUGAGAAACUGCCAUUGAUACUGCAGGGCUUGAAUAUAGUUGCCGUUGGCGGAAUAUGACAUGUAGUGGUGAAAUACAUAGAGAUGUCAUAGAACACCGAUUGCGAAGGCAGCUGACGAAACUAUAACUGACGCUGAGGCUCGAAAGUGUGGGGAUCAAACAGG